UGCAAAGUAUUUUGAUUUAUUUGAAAAUAAUUGAAAAUAGAUUUUUCAAGGACGGUGUCGAGGUCACGGGGUCGGUGUCGUUUUUCGAAAUUUGUUAACUUAAUAUAAUAGAAGAUGUUUCGUUUUAAAUUAAGAAAUGUUAAAAUUAUUAAGUUAAAAACAUUUGAUUUUAAUGACACUUAAAAUUAGACACAAUAUUAUAGGUUACUAACUAAAAAUUGAAAAAACAACAAUAAAUAAUAAAAAAUAAUAAUAAAAAAUUGAAAAAAUCAAAAAAUUCUUAAAAAAUUGCAAAAUAACCCUUUUUCGGGAUAAAAUUGCAAAAUAAACCUUUUUCGGGUUAAAAUUAAAAAAUAACCCUUUUUCGGGUUAAAAUUGAAAAAAGAUGUUACAUAAAAAUAGUUUGUAAGAUUUUCUAAAAGCAUAUAAGCAAAGUAUUUUGAUUUAUUUGAAAAUAAUUGAAAAUAGAUUUUUCAAGGACGGUGUCGAGGUCACUGGGUCGGUGUCGUUUUUCGAAAUUUGUUAACUUAAUAUAAUAGAAGAUGUUUCGUUUUAAAUUAAGAAAUGUUAAAAUUAUUAAGUUAAAAACAUUUGAUUUUAAUGACACUUAAAAUUAGACACAAUAUUAUAGGUUACUAACUAAAAAUUGAAAAAACAACAAUAAAUAAUAAAAAAUAAUAAUAAAAAAUUGAAAAAAUCAAAAAAUUCUUAUAAAAUUGCAAAAUAACCCUUUUUCGGGAUAAAAUUGCAAAAUAAACCUUUUUCGGGUUAAAAUUGAAAAAUAACCCUUUUUCGGGUUAAAAUUGAAAAAAGAUGUUAAAUAAAAAUAGUUUGUAAGAUUUUCUAAAAGCAUAUAUGCAAAGUAUUUUGAUUUAUUUGAAAAUAAUUGAAAAUAGAUUUUUCAAGGACGGUGUCGAGGUCACGGGGUCGGUGUCGUUUUUCGAAAUUUGUUAACUUAAUAUAAUAGAAGAUGUUUCAUUUUAAAUUAAGAAAUGAUAAAAUUAUUAAGUUAAAAACAUUUGAUUUUAAUGACACUUAAAAUUAGACACAAUAUUAUAGGUUACUAACUAAAAUUUGAAAAAACAACAAUAAAUAAUAAAAAAUAAUAAU